UCGUAACACGAACCGGUGCUCAAGGGUCCCACCCACCUGUUACUGACAGGGGCCGUCGGGGCAGGGACCCUUUAGCACCGGUUCGUGUUACAAA
rfam:Sorghum bicolor cultivar BTx623 chromosome 5, whole genome shotgun sequence.